UGGGGAAUUUUGGACAAUGGGGGCAACCCUGAUCCAGCAAUGCCGCGUGAGUGAAGAAGGCCUUCGGGUUGUAAAGCUCUUUUGUCAGGGAAGAAACGGUAGUAGCGAAUAACUAUUACUAAUGACGGUACCUGAAGAAUAAGCACCGGCUAACUACGUGCCAGCAGCCGCGGUAAUACGUAGGGUGCAAGCGUUAAUCGGAAUUACUGGGCGUAAAGCGUGCGCAGGCGGUUGUGUAAGUCAGAUGUGAAAUCCCCGGGCUCAACCUGGGAAUUGCAUUUGAGACUGCACGGCUAGAGUGUGUCAGAGGGGGGUAGAAUUCCACGUGUAGCAGUGAAAUGCGUAGAUAUGUGGAGGAAUACCGAUGGCGAAGGCAGCCCCCUGGGCCAACACUGACGCUCAGGCACGAAAGCGUGGGGAGCAAACAGGAUUAGAUACCCUCGUAGUCCCUGAGCGGGCUGGCAAGGCGCAU
rnacentral:rRNA from 1 species